rnacentral:lncRNA from 1 species
AUGGGUGAUCAAGUGUUAAGUUGUGGUGAUUCUAUAUAGUCAUUUUUAACCAAAUUGUAAUUUGUCAGGUUCACUACUUAAGGAGGGACAUCAAAGAUGUAAUCGUUCUCAAAGCAAGGACUUCUGAAAAUUUGAAUUGGAAAAAGGAAAGGGAUGAAGAGAAAAGAGUUCGUAUACUAUCACUCUUUCAUUAGUCUGGUUUAUUCUCUAAGUUGUUUGA